UGUUUUAAUUCAUUUCUACAGAUUUGAUGUACAUGAAGGUACCAUCAGAUGCCAAAACAUUCUCGUUUCCAAAAAGAAAUGGGUUUUUUUAAAUGUUCAGCUUGUUUUAGUGUAAAUAAUCGGACUUGAAAAAACACCAGUUUUGUGAAAUAUGUAUAUUUGUUUAGAAAUACUACCAGUGAUUACAGGAGUGAGUUAACUUUGUUAUUCAUUUAGACAUUUCCCGACCGGAAGAUCUAAAGAAGCUGAAUCCUUUAGCGGCUAUGGCUGCACAAAAUAUCUGGACGAUCUGGACAAUCGCAGCAAUGUCGCCUGAUAGAAAUAUUUCCAAUUGGAUCGACAGAUUAUUGAUUCCCCUACUACCAUCGAACUAAGGCGCUAGUUGAAAUUUUAUUGAAAUGUAUAUUAAUAUUUCCAGAGUUUUAUGCGAAAAAAAAAAAAACCUCAAUCAAAAAUACCAACAAUAAAUAAACAGAAAAUAUGUACAAUAAAAAAAUGAAAUUCAGCAAAAUAUUUUGAAA